ACACGUCUACAUUAGAUACCCGUGUAGUCCCAGCCGUAAACUAUGCGCGUUAGGUGUAUCGGUGACCACGAGUUACCGAGGUGCCGAAGGGAAACCGUGAAACGUGCCGCCUGGGAAGUACGGUCGCAAGGCUAGAAACUUAAAGGAAUUGGCGGGGGAGUACAACAACGGGUGGAGCCUGCGGUUUAAUUGGACUCAACGCCGGACAACUCACCGGGAACGACAGCAAUAUGUAGGCCAGGCUGAAGACCUUGCCUGAAUCGCUG
rnacentral:rRNA from 1 species